rnacentral:rRNA from 1 species
AGAAUCAACGCUGGCGGCGUGCCUAACACAUGCAAAUCGAACGCGAAAGCCCCGCAAGGGGCAAGUAGAGUGGCAAACGGGUGAGUAACGCGUGGGUGACCUGCCUUCGAGCGGGGGAUAACGUUCCGAAAGGGACGCUAAUACCGCAUAACAUCCUGCCUUUGAAGAGGUGGAGAUCAAAGCCGGGGAUCGCAAGACCUGGCACUUGAAGAGGGGCCCGCGUCUGAUUAGCUAGUUGGUGAGGUAACGGCUCACCAAGGCAUCGAUCAGUA